UGGGGGAAUAAGGUGUUAAAAAGUAGUGCACUACAUGGGGGGGAAUAAGGAGUUAAAAAGUAGUGCACUACAUGGGGGGAAUAAGGAGUUAAAAAGUAGUGUACUACAUGGGGGGAAUAAGGAGUUAAAAAGUAGUGCACUACAUGGGGGGAAUAAGGAGUUAAAAAGUAGUGCACUACAUGGGGGGAAUAAGGAGUUAAAAAGUAGUGCACUACAUGGGGGGAAUAAGGAGUUAAAAAUAGUGUACUACAUAGGGAAUAGGCUGUUCAGAGAGAGAGAAGACCUCUAUAGCCAUGCUACUGUAUUGCUGCUGUGUGACUGAAGGUGCCAUGUUUCUGAUCAGAUCUUCCUGGUCUCAGAUCUGCUUGUCGUUGGAGUUCAAUUCCUCUGACUAUUAUUGGGACAAGAUUUGGCUCUAAAAUACAAACCGGGCAUCCCAAAUGGCACCCCGUUCCCAUUUAUAUUGAGCUACCCUAAUGGGCCCUGGUCAGAAGUAGUAUACUAUAUAGGGAAUAGGGUUCUGGUCUAAAGUAGUAUACUAUAUAGGGAAUAGGGUUCUGGUCUAAAGUAGUGCACUAUAUAGGGAAUAGGGCUCUGGUCUAAAGUAGUAUACUAUAUAGGGAAUAUGGUUCUGGUCUAAAGUAGUAUACUAUAUAGGGAAUAUGGUUCUGGUCUAAAGUAGUAUACUAUAUAGGGAACAGGGUUCUGGUCUAAAGUAGUAUACUAUAUAGGGAAUAGGGCUCUGGUCUAAAGUAGUAUACUAUAUAGGGAAUAUGGUUCUGGUCUAAAGUAGUAUACUAUAAUAGGGAAUAGGGCUCUGGUCUAAAGUAGUAUACUAUAAUAGGGCUCUGGUCUAAAGUAGUAUACUAUAUAGGGAAUAGGGCUCUGGUCUAAAGUAGUAUACUAUAUAGGGAAUAGGUUUCUGGUCUAAAGUAGUAUACUAUAUAGGGAAUAUGGUUCUGGUCUAAAGUAGUAUACUAUAAUAGGGAAUAUGGUUCUGGUCUAAAGUAGUAUACUAUAUAGGGAACAGGGUUCUGGUCUAAAGUAGUAUACUAUAUAGGGAAUAGGGCUCUGGUCUAAAGUAGUAUACUAUAUAGGGAAUAUGGUUCUGGUCUAAAGUAGUAUACUAUAAUAGGGAAUAGGGCUCUGGUCUAAAGUAGUAUACUAUAAUAGGGCUCUGGUCUAAAGUAGUAUACUAUAUAGGGAAUAGGUUUCUGGUCUAAAGUAGUAUACUAUAUAGGGAAUAGGUUUCUGGUCUAAAGUAGUAUACUAUAUAGGGAAUAGGUUUCUGGUCUAAAGUAGUAUACUAUAUAGGGAAUAGGUUUCUGGUCAGAAGCUGUGCACUAUUAGGGAAUAGGGUGCCAUUUGGGAUGUAGAUAUACAGAUCUGGGACCAGUCUUAAAGUUUGACUACAGAGCCAGAAGGAUAUUUUCAGAGAAGAAGGCGCCUUACACAUCUACUUUAGAUUGAUGUGUUUUUCAUUCAUUAACUUAUAAAAGGAAGUUCAUAAUAUAUGUCAGUUCUUUAUGUGUUAUUUAGUUUUUUUAACUAAAUUAUAUGGAUUUAAAACUUGAGGAUUGAAUAUCGGCACUGAUAAAAAUGUAUCUAUUUAUUUGAAACUUCUCCCUCUUGUUCAUUUUACGGCUAAAUUUAAAACAGAAGAAAAUAUUACACAGCAGUUUUUUCUCUUUUGAGUGAAUGGAAAUGUUUUGGAUGUUUAAAAAAAUAUGUGUAUUAAUAAUGUAUAGUUAGUUUUACCACUGUUUUGCUUAUUGUGAGCCUACGUCAGAACAAACAACUUGUUUUCCCCAAAGUCGGCGGUAAAACCCUCUGUUCUCCACCCGGGGUAUUCCGGAAUAUCCAAACUCCGGUUCCAGAAUGAAUUAUAAUAUCCAAACUCCGGUUCCAGAAUGAAUUAUAAUAUCCAAACUCCGGUUCCGGAAUGAAUUAUAAUAUCCAAACUCCGGUUCCGGAAUGAAUUAUAAUAUCCAAACUCCGGUU